CGUAGGUGGCGAGCGUUGUCCGGAAUUACUGGGUGUAAAGGGCGUGUAGGCGGGGAAAUAAGUCAGAUGUGAAAUUCCAGAGCUCAACUCUGGCGCUGCAUCUGAAACUAUAUCUCUUGAGUGCUGGAGAGGAAAGCGGAAUUCCUAGUGUAGCGGUGAAAUGCGUAGAUAUUAGGAGGAACACCAGUGGCGAAGGCGGCUUUCUGGACAGUAACUGACGCUGAGGCGCGAAAGCGUGGGGAGCAAACAGGAUUAGAUACCCUGGUAGUCCACGCUGUAAACGAUGGAUACUAGGUGUAGGAGGUAUCGACCCCUUCUGUGCCGCAGUUAACACAAUAAGUAUCCCACCUGGGGAGUACGGCCGCAAGGUUG
rnacentral:rRNA from 1 species